rnacentral:rRNA from 1 species
UACAGAGGUCUCGAGCGUUGUUCGGAUUCAUUGGGCGUAAAGGGUGCGUAGGCGGCGCGGUAAGUCGGGUGUGAAAUCUUGGAGCUUAACUCCGAAACUGCAUUCGAUACUGCCGUGCUUGAGGACUGGAGAGGAGACUGGAAUUUACGGUGUAGCGGUGAAAUGCGUAGAUAUCGUAAGGAAGACCAGUGGCGAAGGCGGGUCUCUGGACAGUUCCUGACGCUGAGGCACGAAGGCCAGGGGGAGCAAAACGGGG